GAUGAACGCUAGCUACAGGCUUAACACAUGCAAGUCGAGGGGAAACGAUAUUGGAAGCUUGCUCCCGAUAGGCGUCGACCGGCGCACGGGUGAGUAACGCGUAUCCAACCUGCCCAUCACUUGGGAAUAACCUUGCGAAAGUCAGACUAAUGCCCAAUGACAUUUCUGGAAGGCCUCCGAAAUGAAUUAAAGAUUUAUCGGUGAUGGAUGGGGAUGCGUCUGAUUAGCUUGUUGGCGGGGUAACGGCCCACCAAGGCGACGAUCAGUAGGGGUUCUGAGAGGAAGGUCCCCCACAUUGGAACUGAGACACGGUCCAAACUCCUACGGGAGGCAGCAGUGAGGAAUAUUGGUCAAUGGGCGAGAGCCUGAACCAGCCAAGUAGCGUGCAGGAUGACGGCCCUAUGGGUUGUAAACUGCUUUUAUAAGGGAAUAAAGUGAGUCACGUGUGACUUUUUGCAUGUACCUUAUGAAUAAGGACCGGCUAAUUCUGUGCCAGCAGCCGCAGUAA
rnacentral:rRNA from 1 species